rnacentral:rRNA from 1 species
AGAAUCAACGCUGGCGGCGUGCCUCAGACAUGCAAGUCGAACGCGAAAGGUUCCUUCGGGAACCGAGUAGAGUGGCGCACGGGCGAGUAACACGUAGGUAAUUUGCCUUUGGGUGGGAAUAACAGCCGGAAACGGCUGCUAAUACCGCAUAAUGCAGCGGCUCGAUAUCGAGACAGUUGUUAAAGCGGGGAUCGCAAGACCUCGCGCCUAAAGAGAAGCCUGCGGCAGAUUAGCUUGUGGUAGGUAACGCCUACCAAGGCGACGAUCU